rnacentral:lncRNA from 1 species
AUCCCAAUCCUACUAGUCAGACCGGAGAAGUCCAGGGAUCAGACCGCAAAAUUGCAGAGCCCUUCUCUUCCUCUUCCUCCGCUCGCUCUCUCUCUGCGCACUCUCUGUCUCGCCUUCCUCCACCUCCACCUCCGCCCCCACUCUCCCUCCCCUCCCCUCCGCUCCUCCAGAUCUCCACCUCGCGCAUGGCGUCGCCGUCGGGGAACCCUAACCCCAUCCCCAACCAGCCCUUCCCGGAGCUCAACAGGCUCUUCAAGCAGCCCACGCCCCCGAACCCUAACCAACCCACCGCCGCCCCGACCCCCGCCGGCAUCUUCCCGGGCGCCGCCCCCGUCCCGCCGAUGACGUCCGGCN